AUUGAACGCUGGCGGCAUGCUUUACACAUGCAAGUCGAGCGGUAACAGGCCUUCGGGUGCUGACGAGUGGCGAACGGGUGAGUAAUGCAUCGGAACGUACCCAGAGGUGGGGGAUAACGCAGCGAAAGCUGUGCUAAUACCGCAUGUGAUCUGAGGAUGAAAGCGGGGGACCGAGCAGCAAUGUUUGGCCUCGCGCCUUUGGAGCGGCCGAUGUCGGAUUAGCUAGUUGGUGGGGUAAAGGCCUACCAAGGCGACGAUCCGUAGCUGGUCUGAGAGGACGACCAGCCACACUGGAACUGAGACACGGCCCAGACUCCUACGGGAGGCAGCAGUGGGGAAUUUUGGACAAUGGGCGCAAGCCUGAUCCAGCAAUGCCGCGUGCGGGAAGAAGGCCUUCGGGUUGUAAACCGCUUUUGGCAGGAACGAAACGGUGUCCGCUAAUACCGGGCGCUAAUGACGGUACCUGCAGAAUAAGCACCGGCUAACUACGUG
rnacentral:rRNA from 1 species